CCUACGGGAGGCAGCAGUGAGGAAUAUUGGUCAAUGGACGAGAGUCUGAACCAGCCAAGUCGCGUGAGGGAUGACUGCACUGUGGAUUGUAAACUUCUUUUAUAAAGGAAUAAAGCGAGGCACGUGUCCCUGUUUGCGUGUACUUUAUGAAUAAGCAUCGGCUAACUCCGUGCCAGCAGCCGCGGUAAUACGGAGGAUUCGAGCGUUAUCCGGAUUUAUUGGGUUUAAAGGGUGCGUAGGUGGGUUGUUAAGUCAGUUGUGAAAGUUUGCGGCUCAACCGUAAAAUUGCAGUUGAUACUGGCAGUCUUGAGUAGAGUAGAGGUAGGCGGAAUUCGUGGUGUAGCGGUGAAAUGCAUAGAUAUCACGAAGAACUCCGAUUGCGAAGGCAGCUUACCAAACUGUGACUGACACUGAUGCUCGAAAGUGUGGGUAUCGAACAGGAUUAGAUACCCGGGUAGUC
rnacentral:rRNA from 1 species